rnacentral:rRNA from 1 species
ACUCCUACGGGAGGCAGCAGUAGGGAAUCUUCCACAAUGGGCGCAAGCCUGAUGGAGCAACACCGCGUGAGUGAAGAAGGGUUUCGGCUCGUAAAGCUCUGUUGUUAAAGAAGAACACGUAUGAGAGUAACUGUUCAUACGUUGACGGUAUUUAACCAGAAAGUCACGGCUAACUACGUGCCAGCAGCCGCGGUAAUACGUAGGUGGCAAGCGUUAUCCGGAUUUAUUGGGCGUAAAGAGAGUGCAGGCGGUUUUCUAAGUCUGAUGUGAAAGCCUCCGGCUUAACCGGAGAAGUGCAUCGGAAACUGGAUAACUUGAGUGCAGAAGAGGGUAGUGGAACUCCAUGUGUAGCGGUGGAAUGCGUAGAUAUAUGGAAGAACACCAGUGGCGAAGGCGGCUACCUGGUCUGCAACUGACGCUGAGACUCGAAAGCAUGGGUAGCGAACAGGAUUAGAUACCCUGGUAGGAUAGCG